UUAAGCGACUAAGCGUACACGGUGGAUGCCCUGGCAGUCAGAGGCGAUGAAGGACGUGCUAAUCUGCGAAAAGCGCCGGCGAGGUGAUAUGAACCCUUGACCCGGCGAUGUCCGAAUGGGGAAACCCAGUGCAAUCCGUUGCACUAUCGUUAACUGAAUACAUAGGUUAACGAGGCGAACCGGGGGAACUGAAACAUCUAAGUACCCCGAGGAAAAGAAAUCAACCGAGAUUCCCCCAGUAGCGGCGAGCGAACGGGGAGCAGCCCGGAGUCUGAAUCAGCUUGUGUGUUAGUGGAACGGUCUGGAAAGUCCGACGGUACAGGGUGAUAGUCCCGUACACGAAAGCACACUUGCUGUGAACUCGAAGAGUAGGGCGGGACACGUGGUAUCCUGUCUGAAUAUGGGGGGACCAUCCUCCAAGGCUAAAUACUCCUGACUGACCGAUAGUGAACCAGUACCGUGAGGGAAAGGCGAAAAGAACCCCGGCGAGGGGAGUGAAAAAGAACCUGAAACCGUGUACGUACAAGCAGUGGGAGCCUCUUUAUGGGGUGACUGCGUACCUUUUGUAUAAUGGGUCAGCGACUUAUAUUCUGUAGCAAGGUUAACCGUAUAGGGGAGCCGAAGGGAAACCGAGUCUUAACUGGGCGUUAAGUUGCAGGGUAUAGACCCGAAACCCGGUGAUCUAGCCAUGGGCAGGUUGAAGGUUGGGUAACACUAACUGGAGGACCGAACCGACUAAUGUUGAAAAAUUAGCGGAUGACCUGUGGCUGGGGGUGAAAGGCCAAUCAAACCGGGAGAUAGCUGGUUCUCCCCGAAAGCUAUUUAGGUAGCGCCUCGUGAACUCAUCUUCGGGGGUAGAGCACUGUUUCGGCUAGGGGGCCAUCCCGGCUUACCAACCCGAUGCAAACUACGAAUACCGAAGAAUGUUAUCACGGGAGACACACGGCGGGUGCUAACGUCCGUCGUGAAGAGGGAAACAACCCAGACCGCCAGCUAAGGUCCCAAAGUCAUGGUUAAGUGGGAAACGAUGUGGGAAGGCACAGACAGCCAGGAUGUUGGCUUAGAAGCAGCCAUCAUUUAAAGAAAGCGUAAUAGCUCACUGGUCGAGUCGGCCUGCGCGGAAGAUGUAACGGGGCUAAACCAUGCACCGAAGCUGCGGCAGCGACACUAUGUGUUGUUGGGUAGGGGAGCGUUCUGUAAGCCGUUGAAGGUGUGCUGUGAGGCAUGCUGGAGGUAUCAGAAGUGCGAAUGCUGACAUAAGUAACGAUAAAGCGGGUGAAAAGCCCGCUCGCCGGAAGACCAAGGGUUCCUGUCCAACGUUAAUCGGGGCAGGGUGAGUCGACCCCUAAGGCGAGGCCGAAAGGCGUAGUCGAUGGGAAACAGGUUAAUAUUCCUGUACUUGGUGUUACUGCGAAGGGGGGACGGAGAAGGCUAUGUCAGCCGGGCGACGGUUGUCCCGGUUUAAGCAUGUAGGCGGAGGUUCCAGGUAAAUCCGGUACCUUAUUAACGCUGAGGUGUGAUGACGAGGCACUACGGUGCUGAAGUGAUAAAUGCCCUGCUUCCAGGAAAAGCCUCUAAGCAUCAGGUAACACGAAAUCGUACCCCAAACCGACACAGGUGGUCAGGUAGAGAAUACCAAGGCGCUUGAGAGAACUCGGGUGAAGGAACUAGGCAAAAUGGUGCCGUAACUUCGGGAGAAGGCACGCUGAUGUGUAGGUGAAGUCCCUGCGGAUGGAGCUGAAAUCAGUCGAAGAUACCAGCUGGCUGCAACUGUUUAUUAAAAACACAGCACUGUGCAAACACGAAAGUGGACGUAUACGGUGUGACGCCUGCCCGGUGCCGGAAGGUUAAUUGAUGGGGUUAGCGGCAACGCGAAGCUCUUGAUCGAAGCCCCGGUAAACGGCGGCCGUAACUAUAACGGUCCUAAGGUAGCGAAAUUCCUUGUCGGGUAAGUUCCGACCUGCACGAAUGGCGUAAUGAUGGCCAGGCUGUCUCCACCCGAGACUCAGUGAAAUUGAACUCGCUGUGAAGAUGCAGUGUACCCGCGGCAAGACGGAAAGACCCCGUGAACCUUUACUAUAGCUUGACACUGAACACUGGUCCUUGAUGUGUAGGAUAGGUGGGAGGCUUUGAAGCGUGGACGCCAGUCUGCGUGGAGCCNGACCCGUAAUCCGGGUUGCGGACAGUGUCUGGUGGGUAGUUUGACUGGGGCGGUCUCCUCCCAAAGAGUAACGGAGGAGCACGAAGGUUGGCUAAUCCUGGUCGGACAUCAGGAGGUUAGUGCAAUGGCAUAAGCCAGCUUGACUGCGAGCGUGACGGCGCGAGCAGGUGCGAAAGCAGGUCAUAGUGAUCCGGUGGUUCUGAAUGGAAGGGCCAUCGCUCAACGGAUAAAAGGUACUCCGGGGAUAACAGGCUGAUACCGCCCAAGAGUUCAUAUCGACGGCGGUGUUUGGCACCUCGAUGUCGGCUCAUCACAUCCUGGGGCUGAAGUAGGUCCCAAGGGUAUGGCUGUUCGCCAUUUAAAGUGGUACGCGAGCUGGGUUUAGAACGUCGUGAGACAGUUCGGUCCCUAUCUGCCGUGGGCGCUGGAGAAUUGAGGGGGGCUGCUCCUAGUACGAGAGGACCGGAGUGGACGCAUCACUGGUGUUCGGGUUGUCAUGCCAAUGGCACUGCCCGGUAGCUAAAUGCGGAAGAGAUAAGUGCUGAAAGCAUCUAAGCACGAAACUUGCCCCGAGAUGAGUUCUCCCUGAGACUUUAAGUCUCCUGAAGGAACGUUGAAGACGACGACGUUGAUAGGUCGGGUGUGUAAGCGCAGCGAUGCGUUGAGCUAACCGAUACUAAUGAACCGUGAGGCUUAACCUU
rnacentral:rRNA from 1 species